rnacentral:tRNA from 1 species
UGGAACUGUAGUCAACUAUGACAUAUAAUUUGCAUUUAUAAGGUGUUUUAAACCAGUUUC